GAUGAACGCUGGCGGCGUGCCUAAUACAUGCAAGUCGAGCGAACGGACGAGAAGCUUGCUUUUCUGAUGUUAGCGGCGGACGGGUGAGUAACACGUGGAUAAUCUAUCUAUAAGACUGGGAUAACUUCGGGAAACCGGAGCUAAUACCGGAUAAUCUUUUGAACCGCAUGGUUCUAAAGAGAAAGAUCGUUUUGCUGUCACCUAUAGAUGGAUCCGCGCUGCAUUAGCUAGUUGGUAAGGUAACGGCUUAACAAGGCACCGAUGGAUAGCCGACGUGAGCGGGUGAUCGGCCACACUGAGACUGAGACACGAUCCAGAGUCCUACGGGAGGCAGCAGUAGGUAAUCUUCCGCAAUGGGCGGAAGCCUGACGGAGCAACGCCGCGUGAGUGAUGAAGGUCUUCGGAUCGUAAGACGCUGUUAUUAGGGAAGAACAUUUGUGUAAGUAACUGUGCACAUCUUGACGGUACCUAAUCAGAAAGCCACGGCUAACUACGUG
rnacentral:rRNA from 1 species